UCUGGUGUCAGCCGCCGCGGUAAUACCAGCUCUCCGAGUGGUAGGGAUGAUUAUUGGGCUUAAAGCGUCCGUAGCCGGCUUAGCAAGUCUCCUGUUAAAUUCAGCGACCUAAUCGUUGAGCCGCGGGAGAUACUACUAGGCUAGGAGGCGGGAGAGGCCGGCGGUAUUCUCGGGGUAGGGGUGAAAUCCUAUAAUCCCGGGAGGACCACCAGUGGCGAAGGCUGUCGGCUAGAACGCGCUCGACGGUGAGGGACGAAAGCUGGGGGAGCGAACCGGAUUAGAUACCCGGGUAGUCCCAGCUGUAAACGAUGCGGGCUAGGUGUUGGGGUGGCUACGAGCCACUUCAGUGCCGCAGGGAAGCCAUUAA
rnacentral:rRNA from 1 species